CCUGUAAUGAAUACCUGCUUUAUGGUCCAGGGCAAGGACACCUGGCACACACAGGCAGAACGCCUGCGCGGGGUAUGUCAAUGGUUUUUACCUUUCAGACUAGAGAACAAAGUACACAGGAGAGACACCUGUGACAUACAUUAUUUUGGAUACACAAUUCUGUGAAUAUUAUUGUCAACACCAAAGGGCCUAAAUCUAGCGAAACAACUACCUGGGUGGGUGAACAAACGUGGAGGAACUGGGCUCUGAGGAUUUAAUGGAUACUGUUUGCCAAAUGGAUUGUACCUGAAGUCGGAGAGAAGGUUGUCAACGGAACUACCAGCCAGGACUCCAUUUUGGAGAAAAGGUUGUCAACGGAACUACCAGCCAGGACUCCAUUUUGGAGAAAAGGUUGUCAACGGAACUACCAGCCAGGACUCCAUUUUGGAGAAAAGGUUGUCAACGGAACUACCAGCCAGGACUCCAUUUAGGAGAGAAGGUUGUCAACGGAACUACCAGCCAGGACUCCAUUUUGGAGAAAAGGUUGUCAACGGAACUACCAGCCAGGACUCCAUUUAGGAGAAAAGGUUGUCAACGGAACUACCAGCCAGGACUCCAUUUUGGAGAAACGGCAGCUGAUCACCAUGGAGCCCCCGGAGGACUCCCAGUGCCCGUUGAUGUUCUGGGAGAGAAUGAAGCAUUGCAGCAGUUCUUUGACGGAUGCCAGGAUAUGAGUGGGGUCCUG
ensembl:lncRNA